rnacentral:rRNA from 1 species
GUGGGGAAUUUUGGACAAUGGGGGCAACCCUGAUCCAGCAAUGCCGCGUGCAGGAAGAAGGCCUUCGGGUUGUAAACUGCUUUUGUACGGAACGAAACGGUCUGGGUUAAUACCCUGGGCUAAUGACGGUACCGUAAGAAUAAGCACCGACUAACUACGUGCCAGCAGCCGCGGUAAUACGUAGGGUGCGAGCGUUAAUCGGAAUUACUGGGCGUAAAGCGUGCGCAGGCGGUGCUGUAAGACAGGCGUGAAAUCCCCGGGCUCAACCUGGGAAUUGCGCUUGUGACUGCAGUGCUGGAGUACGGCAGAGGGGGAUGGAAUUCCGCGUGUAGCAGUGAAAUGCGUAGAUAUGCGGAGGAACACCGAUGGCGAAGGCAGUCCCCUGGGCCUGUACUGACGCUCAUGCACGAAAGCGUGGGGAGCAAACAGGAUUAGAAACCCUGGUAGUCC